rnacentral:rRNA from 1 species
UACAGAGGGGGCAAGCGUUGUUCGGAAUUACUGGGCGUAAAGGGCGCGUAGGCGGCCUUCUAAGUCGAACGUGAAAUCCCUGGGCUCAACUCGGGAACUGCGUCCGAUACUGGAAGGCUUGAAUCCGGGAGAGGGAUGCGGAAUUCCUGGUGUAGCAGUGAAAUGCGUAGAUAUCAGGAGGAACACCGAUGGCGAAGGCAGGUCUCUGGGCUGACACUGACGCUCAUGCACGAAAGCGUGGGGAGCAAACAGG